UUUCUACCUCCUCCCCAUUAUUUCUCUAUAAUCUCGUUCUCUUCGGAGCAUUAGUCAACAUCUUGUGGGAUCAUUAGAUGAUCUUUACCAGGUAGUGACAGAUGAGGUUCUCUGCAAAGUCACAGCCUCCUGUCCUUGAGGUGAGACUAGGCAUCAGGUCUCUGUGUGAGUCUUGAUUGAGUUAAUGAAUCACUGAGCUGAUACGGGCCUUGGGGUGCUUACCACUCUGGAAAGCACUUAAUGUUAUUUAGGGGUUAACAAAAGCAUAUGGACUCUGGCUUCAGACCAUACCUUCUACACUACCAUGUUUGUGUUCUACGGGGACUCAGUUAGACUAGGACUUUGGUGGUCUCCUUUAAAGGUAGGAGACAGCCAGUCAAUGAUUGACCUGGCUGCCCUGGUGAUAAGCUUAGGUAAACACACUUGAUUCUGCUCCAGUAGUGUCAGGACGUUUUAACCCCCUAGGCUCCAAAGCAGGAAUAUGCAUGUGGUUUUCUGAGAAAGUCUGUCACUUGGAGUUAACAGCCCUAGAAUGGAUGGGAUAUCCCUCAGAAGUAUAUGCACCGUCCCCUCUGGUAAUCUUGUAAGUAGAAAGAAGAAAGCAAGGAAAGUUCUGGAACAAAGAACUAUGCUGGAAGAACCACCAUCAGUGAGAACUCGUCAAUAAAUCACAAAUACAAUAUCCUAUGAUGAAAGAUGAAAAUGAAUCUCAGCAAAGCUUGAAACAUGGAACAACCAACAGCUUACAGAGGAGAGAAGAUGAAGGAAUUACAGCUUGCUUUCCAGAAUGCGUUAAUGGACAGCUAUGUUCCAUGGAGAGCUCUGAUUUACCUCCUUCUCGGCGAAGUAAUAUCCAGAUGAUACAAGGCAUCCAAGCCUCCCAGUGUCUACCAGCGAACCUGCUUCCCCUCUUGCUGCAGACCACCUGACUAUUCCGUGUGACUCUUCAGAUUCAGUACAGUCUUUUCAUCUGACUUUUCUGACUUUCCCUCCCAAAAGAGAGGCACUGAGACCGAAUGACUUAACUCGAGUCUUAAUUCUUUUCAAUAGGGAGGAUCAAGGUUUUCCAGUGGUAGUCUAAAUUAGCCAGACUUAUCUGCUUAGCAAAAUUUAAUACAAUUCAUUUCACAGCUGCUGGAAGUCAGAGGUUUGUAACUUCUUAGCAUCAUAGAUCAUCUUUUUUUAAAGAUUUAUUUUGUUGUUUUAAUGGUACGCAUAUAUACGUGCCUGCGCGUGGGUAUGUGCAUGUGAAUACUGGUGCCCAUGGAGGCCAGAGAAGUCAAAUUCCUAGGAGACGGAGUCCCAGGUGCCACUGAAUCAACCCAACAUGAAUGCUGGAAAGCAAACUUGGAUCCUCCGGAAGAGCAGUUGUAGAUCCUUAAUCACUGAGCCAUCUUUCUAGCCCCAGAAAUACAGAUGGUCUUUUGAGAAUCCAACGAAAGUGAUGGACUCUUCUGCCAUCAAAGAGCACACAUUUAACUACGAUCCCUGUGCAUUAUGUUAUCACUCUGCAGCAUUUCAGCUCCUCUGCACUAUUCUCUGAGGUGUGGUAAGUUCACAAGGCUGGUGACGUUAGCAGAAAUCAGACUGCUGUCUUCUCCCUCUGUGCUUCAAAGAGGGGUAAAAUGAGGUCUCCUGGGCCUAGACUGAGUGAACACCUAGUGAAUACCAUGCAAAAAAGUCUUCAGAUCCCACAAAAGCUGAGUUCUCAGGCUAAACAAAGAAUAGCGUUCAGCGGCCUCCUAUGCAAUAAGGACUUCGCUUCUCAGUACCGUUCUCUCCAGGAUUAAUCCCACCCUUCAGAUGCUUGGUCCCUUGGGUAAAGCCACCCGACAGCCCAAGCCUUCUAUCACAUGAUGCUCGUGGACAGAAGCCCACUCUUCUCCGCUCCUCCCAGCUCCAUGUUAUCCCAACUGUAGCCAGCUGUGAAAACACACUGGUCUGACACGUGCCCAGGCCAUUCUGGGUGAGGUCCGAAGCACACAGCCACUGUCCCUAGAUUGCAACAUCUCACCCUCUGUGAGACUGAAAGAUUUCAAGUCUUAAAAAUAAUAACAUACCUUUGGUCACAGGGAACAUAUUUGCAGAGGGGAAAACAAAAACAAGCUGCUGGUUGAAAGAAUUCCUUUUGGAGGAAAAAUGUUACACUUAAACUAAAAUAUCGAGGACUUUCAGGCAUCUUCACCGCAGUAAUUCACAGAAAGGGAAUCAUUUUCAAAGGUGAAGGAGUGGGAUUUGCACUCUGCCUUCAAUAUUUACCCAGUGUGGUCAUGGAUGUGACUGACACAAAGACCUUUUCCUCCCUCUGUAUGAACUGUUCCAGAUGUGGAAGAUGGACAGAAAACAUCAAGU